CAUGAGUAUUUGUGGAAGGAAGUGGGAGAGGAGUUGUUGUCGUUGAGAUAUCAUGUUGUAUUACUCAAUCUUCUUCCACAUUUUCAACACGUCAGAGUUCUCAGAAUCUGCAAUUGGUGUGUUCAGGUAUCAGCUUCUUUCAAAACAUUUUAUCAUAGCUUUUUCUGCAGAAUUUCCAGUACCAUACAAACUUUCAUUCACAAACUAUAUGUUUUCUGCAGAGUCUUUAUAAAGCUGAGGUCUAUGAUAAGACGAGGAGCAGGGUAUCCCUCUCUUGUACCAACCUGGAAAUAAAUACAUCAUUUCAGAGGUGGGAACUACCGGGAGUCACCUACAUGCUCAAAGCUUGCUCUGCCAUUGAGGAUCUGUGCUUUGUUAUGGCCCCAAAACAGAGUCAGGUAACAGUGAAGGAGCGAAGGUAACAUAUAUAUUGUAACUCAUCUGUAUUGCAAUUCUAAAGAUAUUUCUUGGCUUGUGAACAUUCAGAUCCCCCAACUGUUUCUGAAGCCAGAUGAUUUUGAAGAAAGAAUAUAUUGGAGAAACGAAGCGAAGUCUUUGGUGAUGGCCCACUUGCAGAACCUCAAAAUUAUGACAUUCAAAUUGCCUGGAGAGUGUUAUCACAGUUGGAAACUUUGGCCUCUGGACUUACGCACCUUCUUUAUGGGAAGAGAGAAUGGAGUUGAACUACUGGCAGCUCUUAAGCACAGCUCCAACAAUCAAUUACGCGUUGUUUUGUCCACUGAUAAACAGCAUCGACGUUUUCUUAUUAGGCAGUAAAGGGUUAAUCCUAGAUCCUUAUAGAACAAUUCUGGAGCAAGGUUGCAGUCAGCAACACAGUUAUUUCAUCCAUUGAAGGCAAUUUUGAAAGAACAAAAUCUCGAACUUCCAGAGUAAAAUCUUCAUCCAAAAGAAUACUUGUGUGAUUUGAUAUCAAAAUGCAGAAUUUGAAUGCCACACCCCUAAUGUAAGUAUUCGAUCCCACACCCUACACUAAGUGCAAUCAUACAUAGGGGUCUCGUUUUGAUCCUUUUAUGUAAAAUCGAACAAAUCCUACCAUACUAACACGAUGAACCGUUGUGCCCAAGCCUGAAGAUAUAUGUCAGAUAAUGCUUCUUCUUCUUUUCUUUUCUUUUCCUUUUUUUUUUUUUUUCCAAAAACAUGGUUGACUUGACAACCAUUCCAUGGACUGUUUAAGAAUAUGAAUUUUUGGUUUUCUAGUUAGUCCAAUAAUAGGAUUCUUGGGUUAUGUUUGGUUUCUGGAAAGUAUUAAAAAAAAAAAUGUUAAGGAAAAUGAUUUUCUCAUGUUUGAUUGUCCUAUGAAAAAUAUCAAAGAAAAUCCAAUAUAAUUAAAACUAGUUAGGAAUUUAUGCAUUUUCACUUUUGCUUUCCUCUUACUUUUCAUCUCUAUUUUCUUUUCCUUACAUUUUCCCUCAAAUUUUCCAGGAACCAAACAUAUUCUUGGAGUUUUUGAUCCUAAUGAACACUAGAUAUAAAGGGUUCAUCCUAAAAAAAUGUUGUUCUCUAAAACAGCAAAUAGUCCAAAGUGAAGAGCCUACCUCAGUGGAAGUGAAUAGUUUGUAGAAUUCAGGAAGUACCAUAAUUUCCAAGAUUCUUGCGUUAUUAACUAUUGUCUUGCAUAUAAUUCUUAGAAUGUGUGAUAUUAUAAUUCACAAUACAGUAAGAUAAAAAACGUCAUGGUUAGUUUUAAGGAUUCCAAAUGGAGGUACAAGUCUGAUAUAAUUCUAUUUUUCCAAGACACUUGAACACAUCAACAUCUAUGAAAGUGAAAAUACAAGUAUAGACAGAUGGCAAGACUCUCUUUCUGCAGCAGAUGCAGGGAGAGGAGUUGCAGGGUAGCACUCUGCUGCUAAAGCAAAACAGCAGCAUGGCAUGGGAAACUGCAUGCCAUGGGAGAAGUUCAGCACAAGUCAUAAGGCAGCAGGAGCUAGUCGUAAGCAAUGAUUGGCAUCUUGGCAGUUGACCACCAAGCACAAGCACCAUUGGUGCAAGUGAAGCAAUGGAUGAGCCAUGUGUUCAGCAGAAACAGUAAGGUGUUCAGGUGCUGCAAUGCAGCAUUGCUGAAAGCAAGACCCAGUCAUCAGGGAUUGAGACAAUUGGUUCCAUCUUAGAGCACUCAUGUAACUACCUCUACUGCCUUGUUGGCAUGGCUGAUCAGGAGGCCUAAACCUAGUUGUGAAUUUGUAACUACCCAAGGCUGCCUAGAAUUAGCCAAGGCAUUAUUCUGCCCUUACUCUUAUCGGGUUGCUGGUGGUCUUAUGGAACCCAAGGCCAAUUUCCUUCUAACAUUGUUAUGGAAGCCUAAACCGUAAUUUAGUGUAGCCUAGCAGUGUUUUUGAAUUGGAUUGGAUUGGAUGCUCAAGAAAAGGACAUAAAAUGAAUCAUUUACAGUUCCUAAAAAGUGGGAAUCCAUUCAUCCAAGGCUCCUAAGUGUUAGAUAGCCUAACUCUACAAUCCACGAUGCCUUCAUGGAGAAAAUGGGUACACAACCCAAGUACAUAGAUAGUAUGCAUGUCACAACAGUAUGUCAAGAAACAAGACUAGAUGAGAAAAACAAAUACAUAAAAAGUCAUCCUUUCCUCUGCUGCCAGUGAUCUCUACUUAAAGGGUCUUUCUAUCAGCACUAACUUCUACCAACCAAACCGACACCCAUUUAGACAGAAUGGUAAUGAGGAACAGAAUGACUACUCUACGAUCAUCAAUCACAGAGACAGGCCAUAGUCUCUAUAAAUGCAUUCUGAAAUUAUGGCUACCCAAUGGGGACUAAAAACUGGUACAUUGUAGGUCAAGCUACAAGGGGUGGAGAUGUUUGGCAAAAUUAUGAAUCCAGGCAGCAAAGGAGCUAAAGAGGAGUCCCAAUUCAACCCAAGAUCAGUUCCUAUAAUGUAGCAUAUUAACUAAGCAAGUCUAAUUCAUGAAAACUUAGGGGUUAGUAGGCAGAGGUUCAUACAAAACCAAACUCCGAAUUAAUGUGGAAAACUAUGUGGUUUUGUAAGUAACUGCCUACUUCAAUUCCCCAAUUUAAUGAAAAAGCGAUGUUGAAAGCCAUAGCCUGAUGGGAUUUUCAAUAAAUAAAAAAAGGCUUAUUUUACAUGAGGUCUGAUCUUUGUCGAUUGCAAGGAAAAGCAGUAUGGAAACCCUAAUUACAUCAACAAUUACAUAAUUCUUAACGGUAGGUUAAAAUGAAUAUCGUUUAAAAGCGUAAGAGCUUCGGGGCUUCAAACUCUGCGUUUCUUCAGCACAUAUACAGUUCUCUCGUAACUAGCUACCAUCCAUCGAUUCAAAUCAACUUCGAGUUUCAAAACAUCAUCCACACUCAUAAAAACCAAUCAAGAACUCCAAUUAAUUUUCAGGAAUGAAAAAUUACGACAUAAUUAAAUUAAUCCAUCAACGCAAUUUAAUCAUAUUGCAGAGAUUGAAAACGCAUGUUAUAUACAAACUAUUCACUAAAUAACUGAACUUAGAAAAUUUUUCUAAAAACUUUCCUGUUAUUCAAACAACAAUACCAAUCCAAAGCCUAGCAACUACCCAGUUAUCAAAUAUUUAACUGAUAAUCUUACUAAUCAUAGCUUGGGAAGUUAAAGCUAAACUCACCUGAGAUUGGUAUCAUCUAAUUCUUCACUUUUUUAGUUUCUCCAAUUUUCUUUCUUUCCGAACACUUUUUUUUACCUCCUCUUUUUUCCCUCCUCCGGAAGCAAACGAAGGGAAUUUGUAUAUAUAUAUAGUGAAAAUUUU
rnacentral:lncRNA from 1 species